AUCACAGACAACACAGGGUGUGCUCAAAGCACUUCACCGAGGACUGUUUUCGCAAGACGUUUCUUGGGCUGACAAAACUGAAACCCGGAACUCUACCGACCAUUUUCCCAUGGUCAAAUCAACCUACGCCGAGGAGGGUUCCUGUUCGUGGUGGUCAACCUGCUGGGGAGGUGACACCCGAGUCAGCAGAUGAUCGCAUUGGUGACUUAAUAGCGGAAGAAGCUGAAGAGGAACAUGAAGAGGAACAUGAGGGAGAUAGAUGAGUUGUUACUGACAGUACAAUACAAUUUUUCAAACAUGUAGAUUACUGCAUUGUAUAAUAUAUAUAUAUUCACUAAUCUUUCGAUAGUGGAUAGCUCUGUUCUGACACAUCAUCUUGAUAACAGGAAAAUGUGUGGAUUUAUAUUGCUUCGCACAUGUAUGACAUAUCCUCAUGUGUCCAGUGAGGUUUGGGUGACUACCUGAUCAUGACUACGACGUGAAGCCCCUUUCUGUGGAAGACCAGCUUGACGCAGUAAAGAAACGCAUCGCUUUCCUGGAGGAUGAAAAUAAAAGCUGAAAAGUGAGCGUUUUGGUCUAGAACGCUUCCAGUGUGCGCCCAAUCUGAUCAGGUUUUACACUGGUUUUAAGGAUUACCACACCCUCAAAGCACUCUUCCUAGCUUUACAGCCUACUGCAGAGUCCACGGUGCGAUGGAUUCAAAUGCAAAGGAACAGCCAUAACCUAGAACACAUUUCUGUGUCUGGCUUCCAUGCAGAGCAUUUAUCACCGAUUGAUCCGUUUUUCCUGUUCUUGUGCCGUGUGAGGCAGGGCUUUUUUGCUCUGGAUUUAUCUGUACGAUUCAAUGUGUCGCCGGCCAGAGUCAGCAGGAACUGUACGACGUGGGCCAACUAUUUGCUCUUUAUGUUAGGGACCCUCCCAAUAUGGCCUAGUAGAGCAGCAGUAGACGAGCUAAUGCCACCAGUAUUCAGGGAAUUCUACCCAAACACAAGAGUGAUACUAGACUGCACAGAGAUCCGCAUCGAGACAGCUAGUUCGAAGGUUUUGAACACCAUGACAUACUCCCAUUAUAAAAGUAACACUACACUGAAAUCCCUAAUUGGGAUCACUCCCUCAGGGCCAGUUAGCCUGGUAAGUAAUCUAUACACAGGAUGUAUUUCUGAUAAGGAGAUAACUAAGAGGUCAGGUGUUCUGGACCUCUUAGAGUCAGGUGAUGAGGUCAUGGCCGAUAAGGGCUUCCUUAUCAAAGACCUGCUCGAUGAAAUAGAUGUAAAACUUGUCAUCCCUGCAUUUUUAGGCCCAAGUGGACAGUUUAGCUGUGAUGAGCUCACAGACACACAGAGUAUUGCUGGCUUGAGAAUACACGUCGAACGGUCAAUAAGACGCAUAAAGGAGUACCACAUUUUUGAUGGAGUCAUACCCCUUUCACUAAGUGGAACAGUCAACCAACUGUGGACUGUGUGUGCUCUCCUAACAAAUUUUCAGGGACCACUGUUUUAAACCUUUGCUAAAUUCAGCUGACAAGAAAAUAGUGCACACAAACCUUAGAUAGAUUGAAACAUAUUUAACUUCAUUUCAGUACAGUCCCAUUUUUUAGCCCAUACCUUGAGAUGAGCAAUCACUAUCUUAGUUAAGUAAACAAUUGAUGUUUGAGUUGGUAGCGAGUUCCAGUUUAUUGCUACAACAGAAUGACAGUUGACCGACCAUAUUUUAGUUUAAAAUGAACCAACAGUUUUGUUAAAGUUAAAGGACAAAGAAUGAAAAUAUUGUAGAUGGGACAAUCUAAUGUAUAAAUAUUGAAUGUACAGUAUAAAAAUGAAAUGUAUCUUAUUUUUAUUUUAUUGUGAUU